CUGAAGUCAGUAGGACUGCUGGAUCAUUAUUCAGAGAGAUUUUGAUCAUUCUUAAGACUGCAGUGUUUGCUGCUCCUACUGUGAUUCUUCUUCAGAUCAUCUGUGCAAGAAGAGCUGGGAGGAAGGACUCGCAGCACCCAGAGGAAAUAGCGCUGAAUACAAUAUCAGAAUAAAAUACUCUACAAAUAACCGAUUACAGCAAGAUUUAUCUUCAUUCCAGUGAUAUUAUGGAUAUUUGCAUACAGUUUAUGUGGAUAUUUUCCAUACUGUACUGAAUGUUUUAAAUAUAAUUUUAAAUAUAGCGAUCAACAGAGCAAGACAGGCACCUUUAAUAUCCAUGAAUGGUUUUUACAGAAAUCUUAAUAUUAAUACAUGGUCAUUUUCUAUCCUUGACUCAUCUGAUUGUUACAUUCAAAUUUUAAAAUGUUUUAA